rnacentral:rRNA from 1 species
UACAGAGGUCUCAAGCGUUGUUCGGAUUCAUUGGGCGUAAAGGGUGCGUAGGCGGCGCGGUAAGUCGGGUGUGAAAUCUUGGAGCUUAACUCCGAAACUGCAUUCGAUACUGCCGUGCUUGAGGACUGGAGAGGAGACUGGAAUUUACGGUGUAGCGGUGAAAUGCGUAGAUAUCUGCAGGAACACCCGUGGCGAAAGCGGCGCGCUGGACCACUACUGACGCUGAGGAACGAAAGCUAGGGGGAGCAAACAGG